AUGGCGUGUGCGCUGCUGCCUGCAGGUGUGGCCGCGGCCCUACCGUCUCCUCGCCGGAGCGCCGCCGCCCCCAAGGGACAGCCGAACCAAGUCGCGUGCACGAACCAGCUUCACUGUAAGCUGCCUUUAAUCCUACAUCUGAUUUCAUUUGAGCCCCACAGAUCCUGGAGCCUUGUUGGCUGCUGCACAUGUUCAGGUUCGUCGACAGGAGCAGCUAUGUCAAGGAGAUCUGCAGAUGCUGUAAGUUUUCAUACCGAUGUAUCUCUGAGAAACUCUGUGGAUGCUGUUCUAGGUGCGCAGAUAGUUAUCUCUGGCUACUGGAUUGGCCCCGAUGUGGAAGAUGGUAGUGGUCAUGUUCAGGCCAUUCUGCAAAGAAUUCACUGA
rnacentral:rRNA from 1 species